CAGAGGCAGAAAAAUAGAGAGGGGAUGGCUCUCUAGGGUUCGCCCGCCGCCACCGUUGCCGGCAAGGCGUGUGGAUCCGGUCGCCGCCGCCCCCGGCCAUACACCGGCCGCAUCAGAUCCAUCGCGCCGCUGGCUCUUAGCACCUGCCGCCCCCGCUCUCAGCCGAUAGGCCUCCCCUGUGCUCCACCUACGCCGGCGGCCGGACUUCUCGCUGCACCACGCCGGAGGCCCCCCUUGCCCCCCGACUCCACCUCCUCCUGCCCGACUGCACCAGCCCUGCCCCAUCUCCUACCUAUGAGAAGAUGAGCACAAGUGAUAGCCAUAGUGAAGAGUCCAAAAGUGAUUCUGGUGCUAUGCCAACCUCAAGGAGGCAAAGGAGAAAAAAUACAUGAUGGCUGCACUUGUUGGUAUCAUGUACAGUGAGAAGUAUCUCAUGAAAAAGAAGAGAAGAGUUCCGAUAAUGACCGGACAUUAGUGGGUUACCGAGAACUUGAGUACUCCAAAAGAUUGAUAUAACAUGUUUAGGAUGUACAAGCCUUGUUUUGAUAGGUUGCAUCGUACACUUGUACACACAUAUGGCUUGAAAGGAACAAGAAACAUGAGUUCAGAAGAAGCAUUGGGUAUGUUUCUCUGGACGGUUGGGGGCCCUCAAUCCGUAAGCCAAGUGGAGAAUCGUUUCAAGAGAUCAACCGAAGUUAUACAUCGCAAAUUGAAUGAAGCAUUGAAAUGCUUGAAUGACAUGGCUAUAGACAUCAUUCGACCAAGUGAUCCGGAGUUCAGAGUUGUACAUGAUAGGCUUCGAGAUGCAAGGUUCGCACCUCACUUUGAUGGUUGCGUAGGUGCAAUUGAUGGGUCGCAUAUUCCUGUAAUAGUUCCAAAUGAUGAGAUCGUCAACCAUGUUGGUCGACGACCCAACACAGAAUAUCAUGGCAGUGUGUGACUUUGAAAUGAGAUUCACUUCUAUUGUCGCGGGAUGGCUAGGGUCAGCACAUGACACAAGGAUAUUCAGAGAUACUUUGGUGAAGUAUGCAGAUAGGUUUCCACAUCCACCGAUAGGGGGGUACUAUCUUGUUGACUCGGGUUAUCCCAAUUGUGAUGGAUAUUUAGCUCCAUACAAAGGGCAAAAGUACCAUGUGCCAAAAUUUCGCCAAGGUCUCCCACCGAAUGGGAAAAAAACAUUUAACUUUGCACAUUCAUCUCUAGGCAAUGUUAUUGAGCGUUCAUUUGGUGUCUGGAAGAUGAAAUGGCGUAUUUUACAAAAAAUGACAAGUUACCCUCCUGAGAAGCAAGCUCGAAUCAUCAUUGCAUGCAUGGCACUUCAUAAUUGCAUUAGAGAAAGCAAUUUGAGAGACUUGGAGUUUGACAAAUGUGAUCGCGAUGAGAACUACAUGCCAAGGAAUUCACAACCCCUACCCACGGGACAUGUGUCCAAUAUUGUGGUUGGUGAUGAUGCAACCAUGAAAGCAACUCGUGAGGCGAUUGCUGAUGGAUUGAUGGUGGAUCAAGUAUAGUUUCACAUAUUACUUGAUGAGACUAUGAUGAUUGGUGCAUAUUUUGGAUGAUAUGUGUACGUAUGUAAGACUGAUGGUUAGUACAUAUUUUGGAUGAUAUGUGCAUGUAUCUAAGACUAUGAUGGUUGGUCCGUACGUGGAUGAUAUAUUUCGUAUGGAAGACUACAAGGGUUGAUUCGUUUUUUGGAUGUUACGUUUCAUGUGCAUGUUUAGGAUGAUAUAUUCAUACAUCAUGUCAUUUCUCGAA